AGUCCACGCCGUAAACGAUGUCGACUUGGAGGUUGUGCCCUUGAGGCGUGGCUUCCGGAGCUAACGCGUUAAGUCGACCGCCUGGGGAGUACGGCCGCAAGGUUAAAACUCAAAUGAAUUGACGGGGGCCCGCACAAGCGGUGGAGCAUGUGGUUUAAUUCGAUGCAACGCGAAGAACCUUACCUGGUCUUGACAUCCACAGAACUUUCCAGAGAUGGAUUGGUGCCUUCGGGAACUGUGAGACAGGUGCUGCAUGGCUGUCGUCAGCUCGUGUUGUGAAAUGUUGGGUUAAGUCCCGCAACGAGCGCAACCCUUAUCCUUUGUUGCCAGCGGUCCGGCCGGGAACUCAAAGGAGACUGCCAGUGAUAAACUGGAGGAAGGUGGGGAUGACGUCAAGUCAUCAUGGCCCUUACGACCAGGGCUACACACGUGCUACAAUGGCGCAUACAAAGAGAAGCGACCUCGCGAGAGCAAGCGGACCUCAUAAAGUGCGUCGUAGUCCGGAUUGGAGUCUGCAACUCGACUCCAUGAAGUCGGAAUCGCUAGUAAUUCGAGAUCAGCAUGCUCGGGUGAAUGCGUUCCCGGGCCUUGUACACACCGCCCGUCACACCAUGGGAGUGGGUUGCAAAAGAAGUAGGUAGCUUAACCUUCGGGAGGGCGCUUACCACUUUGUGAUUCAUGACUGGGGUGAAGUCGUAACAAGGUAACCGUAGGGGAACCUGCGGUUG
rnacentral:rRNA from 1 species